AACGAACGCUGGCGGCAGGCCUAACACAUGCAAGUCGAGCGCCCCGCAAGGGGAGCGGCAGACGGGUGAGUAACGCGUGGGAAUCUACCGAGCCCUAAGGAAUAGCUCCGGGAAACUGGAAUUAAUACCUUAUACGCCCUUCGGGGGAAAGAUUUAUCGGGGUUUGAUGAGCCCGCGUUGGAUUAGCUAGUUGGUUGGGUAAAGGCCUACCAAGGCGACGAUCCAUAGCUGGGCUGAGAGGAUGAUCAGCCACAUUGGGACUGAGACACGGCCCAAACGCCUACGGGAGGCAGCAGUGGGGAAUAUUGGACAAUGGGCGCAAGCUUGAUCCAGCCAUGCCGCGUGAGUGAUGAAGGCCCUAGGGUUGUAAAGCUCUUUCACCGGUGAAGAUAAUGACGGUAACCGGAGAAGAAGCCCCGGCUAACUUCGUGCCAGCAGCCGCCGUAAAAC
rnacentral:rRNA from 1 species